GACGAACGCUGGCGGCGUGCUUAACACAUGCAAGUCGAACGGAGUGGCGAACGGGUGAGUAACACGUGGGUGACCUGCCCUGCACUUCGGGAUAAGCCUGGGAAACUGGGUCUAAUACCGGAUAGUGUGGGAUGGGCCCGCGGCCUAUCAGUGUGUGGGUGGGGUGAUGGCCUACCAAGGCGGUGACGGGUAGCCGGCCUGAGCGGGUGACCGGCCACAUUGGGACUGAGGUACGGCCCAGACUCCUACGGGAGGCAGCAGUGGGGGAUAUUGCACAAUGGGCGAAAGCCUGAUGCAGCGACGCCGCGUGGGGGAUGAAGGCUUUCGGGUUGUAAACCUCUUUCGCUAUCGAAAGGGUAGGUGGAGAAGAAGCGCCGGCUAACUACGUGCCAGCAGCCGCGGUAAUUC
rnacentral:rRNA from 1 species